UACAGAGGUCUCAAGCGUGGUUCGGAUUCAUUGGGCGUAAAGGGUGCGUAGGUGGCGCCGUAAGUCAGGUGUGAAAUUUCGGAGCUUAACUCCGAAACUGCAUUUGAUACUGCGGUGCUUGAGGACUGGAGAGGAGACUGGAAUUCACGGUGUAGCAGUGAAAUGCGUAGAUAUCGUGAGGAAGAGCAGUGGCGAAGGCGGGUCUCUGGACAGUUCCUGACACUGAGGCACGAAGGCCAGGGGAGCAAACGGG
rnacentral:rRNA from 1 species